AAAUCGUCAAGCUUCGCUUGGUAUUGGGUCUCGCCUGUCGGGCGGACCCGCAAAUCAGUGGCGAUCUUCCAUCGACUCCAGCCUUAUAAUUCAAUGGUGCUGUGGAGCCGACGAGUGGAUCCGCCAUCCACCCCCAUAUCCCCCACAAAUUGGAUCGGGGUGGACCCCAACCUCUCACAC
rnacentral:misc_RNA from 1 species